CCCUUAGGUGUCCUGGGCUGCACGCGCGCUACACUGAUGUGUCCAGUAAGCACCUAACCUAUUCCGAGAGGAGCGGGUAACCUUAGCAAAGCACAUCGUGAUGGGGAUAGAUUAUUGCAAUUAUUAGUCUUGAACGAGGAAUUCCUAGUAAGCACAAGUCAUCAGCUUGUGUUGAUUACGUCCCUGCCCUUUGUACACACCGCCCGUCGCUCCUACCGAUUGAAUGUUCCGGUGAGCUCUUCGGACUGCGCGGUCUGCAGUUUCUGCGUUCCGUGCGGAAAGUUGUGCAAACCUUAACAUUUAGAGGAAGGAGAAGUCGUAACA
rnacentral:rRNA from 1 species